rnacentral:rRNA from 1 species
UGGGGAAUAUUGCACAAUGGGCGCAAGCCUGAUGCAGCCAUGCCGCGUGUAUGAAGAAGGCCUUCGGGUUGUAAAGUACUUUCAGCGGGGAGGAAGGCGAUAAGGUUAAUAACCUUGUCGAUUGACGUUACCCGCAGAAGAAGCACCGGCUAACUCCGUGCCAGCAGCCGCGGUAAUACGGAGGGUGCAAGCGUUAAUCGGAAUUACUGGGCGUAAAGCGCACGCAGGCGGUCUGUCAAGUCGGAUGAGAAAUCCCCGGGCUCAACCUGGGAACUGCAUUCGAAACUGGCAGGCUAGAGUCUUGUAGAGGGGGGUAGAAUUCCAGGUGUAGCGGUGAAAUGCGUAGAGAUCUGGAGGAAUACCGGUGGCGAAGGCGGCCCCCUGGACAAAGACUGACGCUCAGGUGCGAAAGCGUGGGGAGCAAACA